rnacentral:rRNA from 1 species
GAUUACCUACGGGACGCAGCAGUGAGGAAUAUUGGUCAAUGGGCGCGAGCCUGAACCAGCCAAGUAGCGUGAAGGAUGACUGCCCUACGGGUUGUACACUUCUUUUAUAAAGGAAUAAAGUGAGUCACGUGUGCCUUUUUGUAUGUACUUUAUGAAUAAGGAUCGGCUAACUCCGUGCCAGCAGCCGCGGUAAUACGGAGGAUCCGAGCGUUAUCCGGAUUUAUUGGGUUUAAAGGGAGCGUAGAUGGGUUGUUAAGUCAGUUGUGCAAGUUUGCGGCUCAACCGUAAAAUUGCAAUUGAUACUG